UACGGAGGGGGCUAGCGUUGUUCGGAAUUACUGGGCGUAAAGCGCACGUAGGCGGCUUUGUAAGUUAGAGGUGAAAGCCCGGGGCUCAACCCCGGAAUUGCCUUUAAGACUGCAUCGCUUGAAUCCGGGAGAGGUGAGUGGAAUUCCGAGAGUAGAGGUGAAAUUCGUAGAUAUUCGGAAGAACACCAGUGGCGAAGGCGGCUCACUGGACCGGUAUUGACGCUGAGGUGCGAAAGCGUGGGGAGCAAACAGG
rnacentral:rRNA from 1 species